CUUCACUGUUAUGGCCAUACCAAUAUAUCCCUGUAGUGCAGACACAGCUUAUAUGGAUGGAGGCUGCUUUUCCAACAGGGGUCUACUACACCUCCAAGCAUACACUAUGUUAACAGAAGAACCACCAAAGCUGUCAUCGUAGCUGCAUUACAGGGUAUUUCACCAGGAUGGCGAGGUCAUUAUAUGGGUGUUAAUUCUUGUGCCCCGGCCAGCUGUAAUCAGUUUACAUUAGCAAAAAUUGGGAUCACCAAACUCUGAAAAGGAUUGAAACCCAAACCCAAACUGAAACCCAAAAGUGAGAAAACUGCAACUGCCCUCUUGUAAUAGGAAGCAGAGAAGGCCGUGUGGCCACAUGAUGGCACCAUUUCCUAGGAAGAGAAACCAGGCUGUGCUCAUCUCUUCCUCGUUAUGGAACGUUUUAAUAUUCUAAAGGAAAACUGUUUCAACUGUGUUCGCUUGUUCCCAGAGAGCUCAUGCACGAUUAUGCCAAGCCCCAGCAUGGCCCAACUGUUUUAAUUGGCUAUAAGUUUAAGGCAGCUGGGCUCUUUAAAAACCUAGGUGCGUGCAUCUAUUGCUAGUUUUCCUCUAUGGUGCCAGGUACUGUUACUCAUAAGGCAUGCUGAGGAUUUGCAGCGAAAGAGUUACCAGCCAGGUUCUCUCCCAGUACCAUGUUAAGACUUCACCACGUAAGCUGAGAUGAAAAAGCUCCAGCACUAAACAGAUCAGUGAUGAAAAGGAACAGAAGGUGACCAAGUCUAUUUUUGCAUCUGUAACUUUGGAGUUGCAUAGUUGCAACAAACCAGAAUGGAGGAUGAUGGGAGAAGGAAAGCUACCUCAAGGAGGUGAGGAAGAAAGCACUGUCCUGGAGAUUGUUACUGAAAAAAAAACAACAAAACUAAACUAAAACAAAGAGAAAAAAAAAUCCAGACCAACCAACCUACCAGAAACCCCAAUGAAAGAAUAUUAAAAUGUCGUAACAAACAGUGAUAAACACUUCUGAAUUGUAUAGUAUUCAUUAUUCACUCUUUU